rnacentral:rRNA from 1 species
GAUGAACGCUGGCGGCGUGCCUAAUACAUGCAAGUCGAGCGAACAGACGAGGAGCUUGCUCCUCUGACGUUAGCGGCGGACGGGUGAGUAACACGUGGAUAACCUACCUAUAAGACUGGGAUAACUUCGGGAAACCGGAGCUAAUACCGGAUAAUAUAUUGAACCGCAUGGUUCAAUAGUGAAAGACGGUUUUGCUGUCACUUAUAGAUGGAUCCGCGCCGCAUUAGCCAGUUGGUAAGGUAACGGCUUACCAAGGCAACGAUGCGUAGCCGACCUGAGAGGGUGAUCGGCCACACUGGAACUGAGACACGGUCCAGACUCCUACGGGAGGCAGCAGUAGGGAAUCUUCCGCAAUGGGCGAAAGCUUGACGGAGCAACGCCGCGUGAGUGAUGAAGGUCUUCGGAUCGUAAAACUCUGUUAUUAGGGAAGAACAAAUGUGUAAGUAACUAUGCACGUCUUGACGGUACCUAAUCAGAAAGCCACGGCUAACUACGUG